AGGGUAUACUGGAAGAGUAGGUCUAUGUUGAGAUAGAUUUCUAUUUCCAUUGGGAAUAUACUGCUUUGGUGCCUGCUAGAAGUCUUUUAAUGACAGCACCGUCCAAACAACACGUGUAUGUUGUCUUCAAAAUCCUCAGACUCUUCAAGAUGUGCUUUCGGGUCUUUCGGGUUUUCUACAUCGUCUCGACAUGCUCACGUUUCGUCGACGCCAUCAAUGUAUGUGUGGACGUGAACAAAAUUCCGCACCUUGCAGUGAAUAGUAACCUUUUGGUAGCACACACGUUAUACAAACAGGUGACACCCUCUACUCUUUUAAAAUGUGUACGACGUUGUCAAGGAUGGACACUGUGUAAAUCUUUUGAUUUUAACUUCGGAAGUUCGGAAUGUUCUCUCAAUACAGUCAACAGUUCUGAUCUGAGCUCAGAGACCCUCGUGCUGCAUGACGGAAUGGUUCACAGUUCAAUUACACCAUGGUCUCCGAGUUUUGCUGGCCUGUGUCAAGACCACACGUGCCCUGAUGACCAGUACUGUGACGUUGAUGGCGGUGUUCCAGCCUGUCUUCCUUUCGUGUGACUAAUUCCAUAUCAGCGUGGCCUAAGAGUUUCGCUAGUGCAUGUCAAGAUCACAGUUGUUCUGGAGACCAAUACUGUGAAGACGUUGACGGUGCACAGACCUGUGUCCUCAUCUGAAUGGAAUAGCAUGACCUUGUGUCCAUUUGUGUUGAUGCCCGCUGCCUCUUGAUUGAAAACCCUUGGACAAGGACACCAGGUGAACAUUUCGAAAAGAUGGCAAGGACAUCACCCACAAUCGCCAUGUAAUGCACAGGUCCCAAAUACACCAAGAAGCCUUUCAACAGUUUUCAUAUUUGCCGGGCAGGCUUGGUUUUCUUGGGUAGAAAUUGUCAACAUUUAUAGUUAUUUACAAUAACGGUGUAAGGGUUGAUCAUUUAAAGGUCUUCGAAUGGGCCGAUUACUUUUAGUUUUUUAGGACAUCAAGCGUUUUUGUUUCGAAAACUUUGUACAAACUUAUUUUUGUUUCCGUACUUUUAUGGACAGUUUUCUAAACAAAUCCCACAAUUUAAAAUGAUCGGUACCUUAACCGCUUUAACAAUUAAACUUCAAUCGCAAGAUCUUAACGUUUGCAGUUGUUACGUUAAUUCUUUAUGUGGCUGUAAUGUGUUACAAUGAUCUUUUCCAUACGCUUUGACGUUGUUUUUAUAUUAUAUAUUUAUUGACACUUCAGUCCAGCUAUUCAUGUUUCAUUACAAAUAUUUGAUAGACGUUUCUAAAUUAAUCUUACUUGCGCUGUAGCUUCUACAUAAUAAGAAAUGUUAUAUUUAUCCUAUGUGUACACAACAGCUAACUUGCUGAUGUGAUUAUACAAACCCUAAUAUAGUUACAAUGACCCCCGAUAAAGAAGAUGAAUUGUGUGGACGGUAUAGACAACACAACUGUUCAUGUUUUCUGUCACUUCAAAUUCAAGACAACCUCGCUGUUUGUCCAGAAUAUGGGAAACAUUACACGUAUACACAAUGACAUUAAUCAUUUAAUUAAUAAAUUCGGAAAUGUGUUAAUCUGAACGAUUUCUAUUUGAACGCCAUUGUCUGGAUUAAUGGGAUUUAAUUGCAUGGCCACAUUUAAUCGUUAAUAUACAGCAUUUUUUAAUCAAAAAAAUAAUGUUUAUAACCGAAAAUACUUGUUUCAAAAAGGGGGUUAUGGUAAUUCAAUUAAAUUUAUCUCGAUUCCCAAAAUGGCACAACGUGUGAUACCGCUUUUGAUAUGGCUUCACUGCAUCUGUAUUGUGUCGUGCUGGAUGGUCCUGUGGUGUUAAAUACUUGUGCGACAGGGCUGGAAUCACUCCAUGGUUACUGCAAAUAGACCUGUGUCCGCUGGUAGGUUCAUCCGGCGUUUUCGAUAUGCUCACUUUACUGGCCGUAUUUGUAUUUGAUCACACUUCUAAAGAACAUUUACUUCAUUCCAUGAUAUUAUAUAAUCGAUACAUUAUAUCAGCACUGAAGGUUUAGUAGUUUCUUUCGAUAUGCUUACUUUACUGGCCGUAUUUGUAUUUGAUCACACUUCUAAAGAAAGUUUACUUCAUUCCAUGAUAUUAUACAAUCGAUACAUUUUAUCAGCACUGAAGGUUUAGUAGUUUCUUUCGAUAUGCUUACUUUACUGGCCGUAUUUGUAUUUGAUCACACUUCUAAAGAACAUUUACUUCAUUCCAUGAUAUUAUAUAAUCGAUACAUAUCAGCACUGAAGGUUUAGUAGUUUCUUUCGAUAUGCUUACUUUACUGGCCGUAUUUGUAUUUGAUCACACUUCUAAAGAACAUUUACUUCAUUCCAUGAUAUUAUAUAAUCGAUACAUUUUAUCAGCACUGAAGGUUUAGUAGUUUCUUUCGAUAUGCUUACUUUACUGGCCGUAUUUGUAUUUGAUCACACUUCUAAAGAACAUUUACUUCAUUCCAUGAUAUUAUAUAAUCGAUACAUUAUAUCAGCACUGAAGGUUUAGUAGUUUCUUUCGAUAUGCUUACUUUACUGUCAGUAUUUGUAUUUGAUCCGACUUCUGAAGAAGGUUUUCUUUAUUCCAUGAUAUUAUAUAAUCGAUACAUUAUACCAGCACUGAAGGUUUAGUAGUUUCAGAAAUAAGGUAUCUGUUGAAAAAUGCCAGGGUAGUGGGGUAGUCUAGUGGUUAAAGUAUGUGCUCGUCACGCCUAAGUCCCUGGUUAAAUUCCCUACAAAGGUACAAAGUGAAAAUAGCUGGAAUCUUGUUAAACCAACCAUUGAAAACUGCAAAUGUCAAA
rnacentral:lncRNA from 1 species